rnacentral:tRNA from 1 species
GGGCGCAUAGCUCAGCUGGUUAGAGCGCCGUCUUGACAUGGCGGAGGUCCGUGGUUCGAGUCCACGUGCGCCCA